rnacentral:tRNA from 1 species
GCUUGGGUAGCUCAGUUGGUAGAGCACUUGCCCGCAAAAGGCAAAGGUCCCGAGUUCGAGUCUCGGUCCGGCACGCA